UUGAAAGUUUACGAAAAUUGUAUCAAUUGUUCUGCUCGUUAUCUGUUCCGGUGAGCAUCAUAGGCCUUAUAGUACAAUUACAUACAAUUGUAUCGACCAAUUUACCGUGGGCAGUCAAGAUUAAAGGAAUCGGUAUGAUGGUUGCUGUAGCUCACUGCAUACUACAAAUCUGUUGGAUUGGAGAAACCCUCGAAAAUUCGCUGUCGUUGGUCUCGUUUUCAGUCUACUCGACGCCAUGGUAUUGGAGCAAAAAUUUUCGUCAGAACACUUACCUGUUU